rnacentral:lncRNA from 1 species
UGUGAUCCCGGAAAAACAAUCGGGUGGUUCUAGUCGGUGAGCUUGUGAAAACCGACCGAGUUCGUUGUGAUCUCGUAAAACAACAAGUUGGGUUGUGAGCUUGUAAAACAACCGGCUGUAAUCCAAGGGAUUAUAGUGAACUCCCAAGUGUAGCUUGGGGAGUGGACGUAGGAGCAAGGGUUAGCUCCGAACCACUAUAAAACUGCUUGUGUUUGUGUUGGUUGCUGCUUUGUCUCUUACACUUUCUCUACUCAUUCACUGCAUUUAAAUUGCUUAACCUGAAUACUUGAAAUAGAAUUAGUUAAUCAUUAAACAUAGUUUUUUAAUUGGUCGAGAUUUAAGUCAUAACCCAAUUCACCCCCCC